ACUAUUUUGGCAGAUAAGUGCAGUGGAUUUAGAAUCUAUAAAUAUAGAUAUUAUUCUAUAAAUAGUA
rnacentral:tRNA from 1 species